rnacentral:misc_RNA from 1 species
GAUGAAGAACGUAGCGAAAUGCGAUAAGUAAUGUGAAUUGCAGAAUUCAGUGAAUCAUCGAAUCUUUGAACGCACAUUGCGCCCCUUGGUAUUCCGAGGGGCAUGCCUGUUCGAGCGUCAUUAUAACCCCUCAAGCUCAGCUUGGUGUUGGGGCCUGCUGCACUGGCAGCCCUUAAAAUCAGUGGCGGCGCCAUCUGGCUCUAAGCGUAGUAAUUCUUCUCGCUAUGGAGUCCUGGUGGAUGCUUGCCAUCAACCCCCAAUUUUUCUAUGGUUGACCUCGGAUCAGGUAGGGAUACCCGCUGACCUUAAGCAUAUCAAUAAGCGGAGGA